rnacentral:ncRNA from 1 species
CGUAGAGCAGUGCGGUUCUUGCGCUGUCCGUGCGCUCGCGUCGGCCCUUGAAAUCCGAGUGAGGGAGUGUGAUUUUCGUGCCGGACGUACCCACAUCCGCAGCAGUCUCCAAGGUGAACAGCCUCUAGUCGAUGGACCAAUGUAGGUAAGGGAAGUCGGCAAAACGGAUCCGUAACCUUGGGAUAAGGAUUGGCUCUGAGGACUGAGCCGGUCGGGCUGGGGACCUGAAGCAGGAACGGCACUGCACCGGGACUGGGCGGGGCUCGCCGUUCACGCGGCGCGGCCAAGCCCGGACCAGCGUCGGGACCUUCCUGUGGAAAGCCUCAGCUGCGCGGCGUCUGAGGGCUUCGUGCCCAAAGUGCUAUGCUUCGGCCGGCAAAAAACAGUCAACUCAGAACUGGCACGGACCGGGGGAAUCCGACUGUCUAAUUAAAACAAAGCAUUGCGAUGGCCGCUGGUCGGUGUUGACGCAAUGUGAUUUCUGCCCAGUGCUCUGAAUGUCAACGUGAAGAGAUUCAUCAAAGCGCGGGUAAACGGCGGGAGUAACUAUGACUCUCUUGUCGGAGCACCCUUCGAGUGCUCCGAUUGUGGUCGGGCAUUCAAGACGAAAGCGGGACGCACACUACAUUCCAAGGCACGCCACCCAGUGGAAGCCAAUGCGGAGGUAGUGGUGGAGCGAGUAAAGCCCCGAUGGGAAGCUGAGGAGCGAUACCUACUCGCUAAGCGAGAGGUAGAACUCCGACGCGCGGGGUCCAGGUUCUUGAAUGUGGACCUGCGCAACUCGUUCCCAGCACGAACGCUGGAGUCGAUAAAAGGACAAAGAAAGAAGGAUGAGUACAAACAGCUGGUGCAGCGCCUGACUCAGGAGACAGUACCAGCUGGGGGCGUGACAGACGCUGAGGAAAAAGAGGAAGACCCCCGACCGACCGG